rnacentral:pre_miRNA from 1 species
CUUGUACUCCCUCCGUCUGAAAAUACUUGUCAUUGAAAUGGAUGUAUCUAGAUGUAUUUUAGUUCUAGACACAUCCAUUUUCAUGACAAGUAAUUCCGGACGGAGGGAGUACUUG